rnacentral:tRNA from 1 species
GGGUCCAUAGCUCAGCGGCCUAGAGCGCCUGCUUGACGUGCAGGAGGUCGGUGGUUCAAAUCCACCUGGACCCA